UAAGUCCUUCUUCUAUCAGACCUUGAAGCGAAGGUUGCAAACCUUUAAUAGCUGGGUAAAACCAGCCGAGGCCUAAA
rnacentral:tRNA from 1 species